rnacentral:rRNA from 1 species
GGGCCCGCACAAGCGGUGGAGCAUGUGGUUUAAUUCGAUGCAACGCGAAGAACCUUACCUGGUCUUGACAUACACAGAAUCUUGUAGAGAUACGAGAGUGCCUUCGGGAAUUGUGAUACAGGUGCUGCAUGGCUGUCGUCAGCUCGUGUCGUGAGAUGUUGGGUUAAGUCCCGCAACGAGCGCAACCCUUGUCCUUAGUUACCAGCGGGUUAAGCCGGGAACUCUAAGGAUACUGCCAGUGACAAACUGGAGGAAGGCGGGGACGACGUCAAGUCAUCAUGGCCCUUACGACCAGGGCUACACACGUGCUACAAUGGUAGGUACAGAGGGCAGCUACACAGCGAUGUGAUGCGAAUCUCAAAAAGCCUAAUCGUAGUCCAGAUUGUCGUCUGCAACUCGACGGCAUGAAGGUGGAAUCGCUAGUAAUCG